AGGACGAACGCUGGCGGCGUGCUUAACACAUGCAAGUCGAGCGGAAAGGCCCUUCGGGGUACUCGAGCGGCGAACGGGUGAGUAACACGUGAGUAAUCUGCCCCUAGCUCUGGGAUAGCUCCGGGAAACCGGGAUUAAUACCAGAUACGACCACUUUAGACAUCUUCUGUGGUGGAAAGAACUUCGGCUAGGGAUGAACUCGCGGCCUAUCAGCUUGUUGGUGAGGUAACGGCUCACCAAGGCGACGACGGGUAGCCGGCCUGAGAGGGCGACCGGCCACGACUGGGACUGAGACACGGCCCAGACUCCUACGGGAGGCAGCAGUGGGGAAUAUUGCGCAAUGGGCGAAAGCCUGACGCAGCGACGCCGCGUGGGGGAUGAAGGCCUUCGGUUGUAAACCCUUUCAGCAGGGACGAGCGAAGUGACGGUACCUGCAGAAGAAGCGCCGGCUAACUACGUGCCAGCAGCCGC
rnacentral:rRNA from 1 species